rnacentral:antisense_RNA from 1 species
CUUCAACGACCCCAGAAGCAGGGGCUGUUCUGCGUCACGGUCCCGGCCGUAGGUCGCGAGGAGCGCCUGCGCCUC